rnacentral:rRNA from 1 species
ACGAACGCUGGCGGCGUGCUUAACACAUGCAAGUCGAACGGAAAGGCCCUGCUUUUGUGGGGUGCUCGAGUGGCGAACGGGUGAGUAACACGUGAGUAACCUGCCCUUGACUUUGGGAUAACUUCAGGAAACUGGGGCUAAUACCGGAUAGGAGCUCCUGCUGCAUGGUGGGGGUUGGAAAGUUUCGGCGGUUGGGGAUGGACUCGCGGCUUAUCAGCUUGUUGGUGGGGUAGUGGCUUACCAAGGCUUUGACGGGUAGCCGGCCUGAGAGGGUGACCGGCCACAUUGGGACUGCGAUACGGCCCAGACUCCUACGGUAGGCAGCAGUGGGGAAUAUUGCACAAUGGGCGGAAGCCUGAUGCAGCAACGCCGCGUGCGGGAUGACGGCCUUCGGGUUGUAAACCGCUUUCGCCUGUGACGAAGCGUGAGUGACGGUAAUGGGUAAAGAAGCACCGGCUAACUACGUG